GGCGGAGCGUCGUUUGCGACGCCCAACACACAAAACAAGCGGUGAGUGCUUUGGGGUGGGGUGACUGCGUACCUUUUGUAUAAUGGGUCAGCGACUUAUAUUCUGUAGCAAGGUUAACCGUAUAGGGGAGCCGAAGGGAAACCGAGUCUUAACUGGGCGUUAAGUUGCAGGGUAUAGACCCGAAACCCGGUGAUCUAGCCAUGGGCAGGUUGAAGGUUGGGUAACACUAACUGGAGGACCGAACCGACUAAUGUUGAAAAAUUAGCGGAUGACUUGUGGCUGGGGGUGAAAGGCCAAUCAAACCGGGAGAUAGCUGGUUCUCCCCGAAAGCUAUUUAGGUAGCGCCUCGUGAACUCAUCUUCGGGGGUAGAGCACUGUUUCGGCUAGGGGGUCAUCCCGACUUACCAACCCGAUGCAAACUGCGAAUACCGAAGAAUGUUAUCACGGGAGACACACGGCGGGUGCUAACGUCCGUCGUGAAGAGGGAAACAACCCAGACCGCCAGCUAAGGUCCCAAAGUCACAGUUAAGUGGGAAACGAUGUGGGAAGGCUCAGACAGCCAGGAUGUUGGCUUAGAAGCAGCCAUCAUUUAAAGAAAGCGUAAUAGCUCACUGGUCGAGUCGGCCUGCGCGGAAGAUGUAACGGGGCUAAACUGUGCACCGAAGCUGCGGCAGCGACGCUUAUGCGUUGUUGGGUAGGGGAGCGUUCUGUAAGCCUGCGAAGGUGUCCUGUGAGGGAUGCUGGAGGUAUCAGAAGUGCGAAUGCUGACAUAAGUAACGAUAAUGCGGGUGAAAAGCCCGCUCGCCGGAAGACCAAGGGUUCCUGUCCAACGUUAAUCGGGGCAGGGUGAGUCGACCCCUAAGGCGAGGCCGAAAGGCGUAGUCGAUGGGAAACGGGUUAAUAUUCCCGUACUUGGUGUUACUGCGAAGGGGGGACGGAGAAGGCUAUGUUGGCCGGGCGACGGUUGUCCCGGUUUAAGCGUGUAGGCUGGUUUUCCAGGCAAAUCCGGAAAAUCAAG
rnacentral:rRNA from 1 species